rnacentral:rRNA from 1 species
GACGAACGCUGGCGGCGCGCUUAACACAUGCAAGUCGAACGGAAAGGCCUGCUUUCCCUUGUGGAUUGCGGGUACUCGAGUGGCGAACGGGUGAGUAACACGUGAGUGAUCUGCCCCCAACUUGGGUAUAAGCCUGGGAAACUGGGUCUAAUUCCCGAUAGGACUGCAGGGUGGUGCCUGUGGUGGAAAACGAUUUUCUAGUGGUUGGGGAUGAGCUCGCGGCCUAUCAGCUUGUUGGUGGGGUAAUGGCCUACCAAGGCGGCGACGGGUAGCCGGCCUGAGAGGGUGGACGGCCACAUUGGGACUGAGAUACGGCCCAGACUCCUACGGGAGGCAGCAGUGGGGAAGAUGGCACAAUGGGCGGAAGCCUGAUGCAGCGACGCCGCGUGGGGGAUGACGGCCCUCGGGUUGUAAACUCCUUUCGACCGCGAGGAAGCCACCUGGUUGGAAGGGUGGUGACGGUAGUGGUAGAAGAAGCACCGGCUAACUACGUG